UCCCCAUCACAUCUAUCUCCUUCCUGAACCUCCUAUUUCUGAGCUGUUUUCUGGGAUAUAAGAGAGCAGGUGGCUGGGCAGUGGACACCAAAGUCUGCCCCAUCAUGAAGUCUGGUGGCCUUCUCCUCCUCGUGGGACUCCUCGUCCUCUGGGCUCAGCUGCCUCCUGCCUCCGGUGACCGUCCAGAGCUCAUAAAUUCAGGGAAGUUCAUUUUGGAGACCACAAGGCAGAGCAAAAGACCACAAACCACGUCCAGUUUGGAAGGAACUUUCCCACCAGCUGACCGCUGAGGGAAGAAUUGUUUCAGAUCCCACAGAGUUCUGCUUCCUCCCUGCGGAAUUUGGGCCAUGCAGAGCGCACAUGCCUCGCUUCUUCUACAACAAGUCGUCCAGCCAGUGUGAGCAGUUUAUUUAUGGGGGCUGCCAGGGAAAUGCAAACAAUUUUGAGACUUUAGAGGAAUGCCGUCGCACCUGUGUUGAGAAGCCUGGAAGAUGCCCCCCAGAACCUCCAGGUCACGUCGGACCCUGCAUAGCAAGGUGUUCAGAUGACUGGGAUUGCCCUGGAAAGCAGAAGUGCUGUGGUAGUUGCCCGCGAGACUGUACCUCUCCCAUCUAAGCUUCUCAGCUGCAGCGGACCCUGGCUGGAAACCCAGAAACAUCUACAGGAGCUGAUCCAGUGCAAUCUGAAGACCUCACAUAUCUUAGCAGUGACGGCACCGGCCCUGCAAAGCUCAGCCUCCCUACCCAACCUUGGGCUUUCGCUGUCGGUGGAGCAAAGUUUGCUCCAUCAGGCAUCCUCUUUUCUCUUCUCUGCAAUAAAGACAUCCGCUCAUU